UCCGCCAACACCACCCUCGCCGACUCAUUUGAUUCUACGUUGUUUUGUAGAGGUGCCCUGUCCUUUGCUCUGAAGAUCUCAGCGUGUGUGGCUAAGGGCGAAGUCUUCCUCCUGUGACAUUGGUGUCCGUGGGUUUUUUGAAAUUCAGGGAAAUUAAACGCAAACCUGAACAAAAUGAAUGACCCGACAUGUGAAUUCAUUGUCAAAACAGUCCUUUUGGCAUUCGCGCUGAUUCAUUUUUCAUCUAAAUUUGGGAUUGAAAUGUGUUGCAUGUACCAUGUCAACAUAAUUUAUGAUGUCCGUCCUUCUCGACCUUUUUUUAAUCUGCCUUGUGUUGAGGAUUCUGUCUCAUUUGCUUCCAGAACCAACCUUUCCUCAUCUUUCUACUCGUCGGUGACCAAACCCUAGCCACCUGGCAUUGUUGGCACCUUUCUAAACCAAUUCAAGUCCCCCCUCUAUCCCCGUGUUAAGAUUUAUUACACUAAUGUUCCAACCGACGGGCGUCUNN
rnacentral:lncRNA from 1 species